rnacentral:rRNA from 1 species
GAAACAGUACCUGAAACCGAACGCCUACAAUCAGUCGGAGCCCCCUUGCGGGGUGACGGCGUACCUUUUGUAUAAUGGGUCAUCGACUUGGUCUAUCUAGCAAGCUUAAGCCGUUAGGUGUAGGCGCAGCGAAAGCGAGUCUGAAUAGGGCGCAUGAGUUAGAUGGAUCAGACCCGAAACCGAGUGAUCUAGGCAUGGCCAGGUUGAAGGUUGGGUAACACCAACUGGAGGACCGAACCCACAUCCGUUGAAAAGGAUCGGGAUGAGCUGUGCCUAGGGGUGAAAGGCCAAUCAAACUCGGAGAUAGCUGGUUCUCCGCGAAAUCUAUUUAGGUAGAGCGUCAUCCGAAUACCCCCGGGGGUAGAGCACUGGAUGGGUAAUGGGGCCCCACAGGCUUACUGAUCCUAACCAAACUCCGAAUACCGGGGAGUACUAGAUGGCAGACACACAGCGGAUGCUAACGUCCGUUGUGGAGAGGGAAACAACCCUGACCUACAGCUAAGGCCCCCAAUUCAUGGCUAAGUGGGAAAGCAGGUGGGACGACCAAAACAACCAGGAGGUUGGCUUAGAAGCAGCCAUCCUUUAAAGAUAGCGUAACAGCUCACUGGUCUAAAUAAGUUGUCCUGCGGCGAAGAUGUAACGGGGCUCAAGCCAUGAGCCGAAGCUUAGGAUGCACAUAGUGCAUGGUAGCAGAGCGUAGUGUGA